rnacentral:rRNA from 1 species
UAGGACGCACAGNUUUAUAUCGUAGCUUGCUACACCAUAGACUGUGAGUUGCGAACGGGUGAGUAACGCGUAGGUAACCUGCCUAUUAGAGGGGGAUAACUAUUGGAAACNAUAGCUAAUACCGCAUAACAGUAUGUAACACAUGUUANAUGCUUGAAAGAUGCAAUUGCAUCNCUAGUANAUGGACCUGCGUUGUAUUANCUAGUAGGUAGGGUAAAGGCCUACCUAGGCAACGAUACAUAGCCNACCUGAGAGGGUGAUCGGCCACNCUGGGACUGANACACGGCCCANACUCCUACGGGAGGCAGCAGUAGGGAAUCUUCNGCAAUGGGGGGAACCCUGACCGANCAACGCCNCGUGAGUGAAGAAGGUUUUCNGAUCNUAAAGCUCUGUUGUUAAGGAAGAACGAGUGUGANAAUGGAAAGUUCAUGCUGUGACGGUACUUAACCAGAAAGGGACGGCUAACUACNUGCCAGCAGCCGCGGUAAUA